AUGUGUGUCGAGAGCAAACACACACACACACACACACACACACACACACACAGAAUGACCCACGAGAAAGGGAAAGGGGAAAACACCAAUCCUGCGCUGGGCUUUUUCGACUUUUCCUUUAAAAAGAAAAAAGUUUUUCAAGCUGUAGGUUCCAAGAACCGGCAGGAGGGGGGCGAGGCGGGGUGGGGGGGUGUACAGAAAAGGCGCCUGGUCGGUUAUGAGUCACAAGUGGGUUAUAAAAGGGUCGCACGUUCGCAGGCGCGGGCUUCCUGUGCGCGGCUGAGCCGGGGCGCAGCGCGACGGUCCCAUCGGGCGGCCUCCACCCUCGGGACGCGAGCGGAGCGCCGAGCCCAGCGGCGAUCACGCGACGCGGGGAAGGAAGGAAGAUCUCUCCUUUCAAAGAUAACUAGCCAAAUGAACAUAAUAAACAAGUCCAAGCAGUUGGAGGGGCGGCCGCCACCCCACCGUCUCCAAAUAACUGAUUCGCAUUUCCGAGACGGUUCACCUGAAGCCUUGCCUGCUACCUUGGUUCUCCCACCUGAAGGAGAUGGUUCUAACGGUGGCGCAAACCAGGAAGGGGAAAUCUGUGGUUUACGUUCUCUGUGCCUCAUCCCUCUCGGAGAGCUGGAGGCUUGCUGGAGGCUAUAUGCUGUUAAUGCUAAUUGUGAUAGGGGUUUUUACCUCCGUCUGACUCCUACAUGUUAGCAUUAACAGGGUAUGAUGCCUGUUACUAGCAUUCACAUGGAACAAACUGCUGCUGUGGGAGGAUGACAAAGAAGUGUGAGUCACCCUGCUGGAUAAACUCAGACUUUAAGCUUUAUUAUUUUUUGUUAAUCAUAAUCUGGUCACUGGGAUGUUCCACCUGAUAGUAAGUCUUAAGAAUAAGGUCUUGUAAAAGAUUUAUCAAUGGUAUCCUGAAAGCAAACUUUUUUACUUUAAUCCUGAAGCCCACAUAUUUUUAAAAAAAAAUCUUUAAUGGAAAAUGUAUUCCUGUCCUUUUUAAUUCACAGUUAUGGUUUGUUCAUUAUAACUGUUUAUAAACUUUGAAUAAUUUAACUGGAAAGAAAUAUAGACUAAACACAUUCUGAGUAUCUUUGCAGUUAAAAAUUAGGACUACUAUCCACUAAUUAAUCAUGGAUUGUUGGGAAAUAUGUUUAAAAAGAUUUAGAAAUAGGUAUUCCCCCCAUGUAACAAUUCUAUUUAGACAACUUCAGUUUCAAAUGGAUACUUUUAUAUGAAUCUUAAAGUAGACUUGAAAGGCUAUGGCAAUUAGUUUUUAAAAAAUGAAAGAUUUCAUUCUUUUUUAUGGCUGAGUAGUAUUCCAUUGCAUAUAUAUACCACAUAUCCUUAAUCCACCCAUUCGUCUGUCACUGGACAUUUAGGCUGUUUCCAUUUGCAGCAACAUGGAUGCAAAUAGAGAUUCUCAUACUAAAUGAAGUUAAGUCAGAAAGAUAAAGACAAAUUCCAUAUGAUAUCAGUUACAUGUGGACUCAAAAAUAUGGCACAAAUGAACCUAUCUACAAAACAGAAACAGACCCACAGACAUAGAGAAUAGACUUGUGGUUGCCAAGGGGGGAGGGAAGAGGGAGUGGGAUGGAUGGGCAGUUUGGGGUUAGUAGAUACAGACUAUUACAUUUAGAUUAGAUGGGCAAUGAGGUCCUACUAUUCAGCACGGGGAACUAUAUCCAGUCUCUUGGGAUAGACCAUGAUGGAAGAUAAUAUAAGACAAGGAAUGAAUAUAUACAUAUGACUGGGUCACCCUGCUGCAAUAGCAGAACUUGCCACAACGUUGUACAUCAACUAUACGUUAAUAAAAAAAUCAAAAAGAUUUUUUUAAAAUUAGUA
ensembl:lncRNA